rnacentral:lncRNA from 1 species
GAUUACAGGACAAGUGCUGCCCCGGAGGCUCCGCGACGCGCGCACUCCCUCGCGCCCACCCGCGCGCCCGGCCGCGUCGCCCCCAGCCCGUUGGUCCCCGGACUGCGGACCCCGCCCCCGACGGGGGCCAGGUAACCCGCUUCCGAGUGUGCCACGGCGACCCCCAUCUCCCCUCCCCGUGUCAUAAUAAAUCUCACGUUUUCUGCCGGCUGGAGGCUUGGAGCGGUGAGGUGACGUUCAUUUCGGCCGCGUGAAGUUUUCUUUCAAACUGGGAUUGGUGGGGAGGCCGGGGGAAGGGAGCGGGGCGGCGAUCUUGGCGCCCUGCGCGGAGUCCGGGAGCCGCGUCCCGGCCGAGUCGGGGAGUGUGCGUGGAGCCUCCCACCUACUGGUCUCCGCCGGCAACUCUGCGGCCCCAUUUCGGAAAGCGCACCGCAUUGACCGGGACCUGAAGCGGGAUAAGAGGGGUCCUGGGGAAUAGACUGAGAAAGACAUUCAUGUCUGAGAUGAAGCUCAACUAUUACUAUUUUGAAAGUGCUUUAACAGUGCAAGUUUAAAAACUAAAGUGUUGACUUGCUUUUUCUCCCCCGGGGCAUGUGCCACGUCUUCCAAAGUCAAAGGAACGGAUGAGUACAAAAAGUUGCUACCCUUGAAGUGUUACCUAUCACUAUCAACCACAGCUUGUUUAUUUGGAAAGAACUUAAGUGAACCGUCAAGAGAAAAACAAAUGCAUAUUCUUUCUACAAAUAGUAGCAUUUAGUAUCUUUCCUGACCACAUUUGCGAAAAGAGGGAAUAGAGACUUCUAUAAUUAAAGGGAAAAGGAAAAUGAAAGGAGCUGAAAAUAGUGAACUGUGUAGUCUGGAUGGCUGAAAUUUGAAAACACAUGAAAUUAUCAGGACUGCCAAACGGUGUUCCUGAGAAACCAUAUCACAGAUUGUGAAGAAAAUCAAUGCUAGAAGAGUCGGAACAGGCACCGUACUCUUACUCCUUUGAAGAAUCCCAGAAAUAGUUGUUGAGGUUUUUUUUUUCUGCUGAGAAAAAAAGAUAUAUUGGAAAUUAAGUCAUCAACAGUACCUUAAGCAUUUGCAGGUUAUGGUGUAUCUAACUCAUCCAGAGAAAUCAAGAUUAUGUUUUCAUACCAAGAUUGGGGGUUUUAUUUCAUGCCUGUGGAGUCUAUAGUCCUAAGAUUCACAAUGCAAUCCACUCAUGGGAAAGAACCCUUGCAUAAACUGUAAUUCACUUUGUUCAGAAUUUCUCUGGGUAGUUUUGUUUGUUUGUUCGUUUUGGUUUUGUUUUUGUUGAGACAGAGUCUCACUCUGUCACCCAGGCUGGAGUGCAGUGGCGCCGUCUCGGCUCACUACAAUCUCUGCUUCCUGGGUUCAUGCGAUUCUCCUGCCUCAGCCUUCUGAGUAGCUGGGAUCACAGGCGCCCACCACCACACCUGGCUAAUUUUUGUAUUUUUUAGUAGAGACAGGGUUUCACCAUGCUGGCCAGGGUGGCCUCGAACUCCUGACCUCAGGUGAUCUCCCAAAGUGCUGGGUCUCCCAAAGUGCUGGGAUUACAGGCGUGAGCAAUUGCGCCUGGCCUCUCUGGGUAGUAUUUUGAUAGUUAGAGGGUGCAUUUAUUUCUGUCCUUUGCCAGAAGACAUAGACUGUACACAUUUUUUUAAGGUACUUAUAUAACUAUACUGUACAUUAAAAUAUACCACUAGGGAAGUGGAGUACCAUGUUCUUUGGCCACUGUAUCCAGUUUGGAGAGUUAAGUUUUUACUUUAGGGAAGAAGUGGCAGGGUGGGGAGGAAACAGACCCCUCAGCCCUUACCAUUUUUCACGUAGCUGGUUCUUUCUCAUCCUUUCUGUCCCAUCCUACCCAAACAUUUUCCUGCACCAACUUCUAUUGUAGCACCUUGAAUAUUUCCUUCAUAACAUUGUUUUCUCAGAAGUAGAAUAGUAUUUGGUACAAGUUGGUACUCAAUAAACAUUUAUUAAAUGAAUGAAUAUGGAGGAAAUGAUGUACUCAGCUGGCUUUCAUGUAUUAAACUCUAUUUUCAAAGGACGAAAAGGGUCCCAUUUCCAAGAUACAUGCUGAUUUCAUAAAGAAUUUGGUCAGAUCUUGGCUCAUAAGUCAUAUUACAAAUAUCUUUAACAGGUCAGCUCUGGCUUACAAGCCACACAAAGGAUCUGAACCUCUUGGUAGAUAACAGUUAUAUUUACAAAAUGUAUAUAAAAUAAAAUGUUACAUAAAUUAAAAAUAAAAUUAUAUAUAAAUAUAUAUUUUUAACAUUUAUAUAUUAAUUUUGCAAAUAUAAAUAUGAAA